UACGGAGGGUGCAAGCGUUAUCCGGAUUCACUGGGUUUAAAGGGUGCGUAGGCGGGCAGGUAAGUCAGUGGUGAAAUCUCCGAGCUUAACUUGGAAACUGCCGUUGAUACUAUUUGUCUUGAAUUUUGUUGAGGUAGGCGGAAUAUGUCAUGUAGCGGUGAAAUGCUUAGAUAUGACAUAGAACACCAAUUGCGUAGGCAGCUUACUACACGAUCAUUGACGCUGAGGCACGAAAGCGUGGGGAGCAAACAGG
rnacentral:rRNA from 1 species